UUAGACCGAUCAAGGCGAGAGACAUGGGUGGCAAGGGCGGCGGUGGAGGUGGCGGCAAAGGGGGAGGAGGAGGCGGUGGCGGUGGAGGUGGAGGCGGCAGGAGCGUCGGAGGGGGAGGAGGAGGAGCAAAGGGAGGCGGAGGCGGAGGCGGAGCGAAGGGGUCAGGCGGCAGCGGGGGCGCCGGGAAGUCGUCCGGCACUGGCGGUGGCAGCGGCGGCAUGAUGAAGGCGCCCGGCGGCGACGGCGCCUACAUCUCCCGUCCCGGGUUCGAGUCCAACCCGCAGGGCUACUUCCAGGGCCUCCACGGCGCCGGAGGAAAGUAGCCGGAGACUGGGAGCGCUCUUCCCGUCUUCCGUCAGUCAGUCAAUCAGUCAGUGGAGCUUCUCGUCACUCGUCCGCAGCUUAAUUCGGCCAUGCAUGCAUGUUUACGCAUUGGCUUCUAAAUAAUGUAACCCCGUCAGAGCAGCCUGCAUGCUAGUCCAAGUCGGUCUCGUUCGCAGCGUUCGCUUGAUUGUAAUGGAAGUACUGAUGAACCAUGCCAGCAAUGAUCGUGGAAAUUAAGUCAUCGAUUGUUCAUGUUUGACUGAUCGUGUGGUGGCCUUUUCCUACUCAUCGCCUUCGUGUUUGGUUGAUCGUGUGAUGGCCUUUUCGUACUCAUUGCCAUAUGCCCAUAUCGUGAGUUAAUCGAAGUGCAUGCGACCGAUAUUUUCUUAGGUGCAGAAGUGCAUGCGAUUUAUCGCCGCUAAGCAAUUUUGGAUGCAUGCCAUUUCCAGACAACGAAGUUAAUCCGAAUUACUCUGUAUAUUAGUAAAUUAUACGCUUGCUUAAGCAUUGCAUACGAUGAAAAUACUUUCUGCCUGAUGCUCACGCACUACUCCCUCUGUCCUUGCAAUAAGAAAAUAUCAAAAACGUUUUUAUAUUAUAAGAUGGAGGGCGUAUAUGAUGUACUCAUUACAGGAUAUGAAUUUAGCGCACAUGACCAAGUCAACUUUUUCUGCAACACCAACAUCAAGAAGUGAUACUCGUCAUCACGCUGGCGUCUCCAUGGCAAGCCAAAGAGGGCUGACAAUGUCUUGGGCGUUGCGUCAAUAAUGUUUUCGUGUCUCUGAUGAUGCUUCGAAUGUCUACAGGCAGCAUGGAGCAUUGCUCAAGGCAUGCCGUUGGCGAAUGCAAGAAAAAGACGACGUCAAUUCUCCAAGGACUCUUGUGUAGUUUUAAAUCUGUGUAAGGAUAGCCAUUGUAAAGAACGGUCAACUUUAAUAUAUGGAGUUUCGUAUUUUUCACGAAAAAUAGUUUAUCGCUUUCUUUUAAUGUUCAUGGAUGGUAUCUCGAUGUACAAUUUAGACCUAGCUCAACAUUUGCAGCACCUAACUACCGCCUUCCACUUUUUAAGGAAACACGAGCUCUAUGCCAAAUUGCCCAAAUGCUCUUUUGCACAACCUCACCCCUAAACACAUCAUAUCUGAUAAAAGCGUAGCCACAAACUUUGUAAAAACUUAGGCCAUAGUAUAAUGGCAUACUCACACAAAUAUAAUUGAACUAGAUUUUCUAGACCCCAUUCUCCUUGCAAUAAGACUAGAUAUAUUGAAGAUUGAUUUCCGGGCGUAUGUCUCCUUAUCCCCCUUGAUUUUUCAAACUAACCCCCCUGAUUUUCAUUGUGAGACGCAACGUCAACCCAUAAACUCCUCCAAUACUGAAAUUUUUGUAGAUGUAGCAUUUCUGCUCCUUGCAACCUGGAGUUGCUGAGUCCACAUUUUUUCUAUAUUUUUUUGUACGAUUUGCCCACAUUGUGUUAGCUAGCACAAGGUAUGUGCUUCGCACAGAGCAAACAUCAGUCGUCAUGAACCUGAGUUGGCCUGAUUGGGACAAGGGUUGCUAAAGACAAAAAUGAUGUAUUGAUUGAAGACAUCGGUUUCUACUUUCUAAGACGCAAAGUUCGGGAUAUGGGACAAGAUCCGGGAGUGACUAGGAUGGAAACUGAGCAUCUUGUAAAAGAGAUUGAAAAUAUCAAUCCAAACCGUCGGAUUGGAAUCAGAUGGCCCAGAUCUUAGUGGAGGGAAUCAGAUGGAAUCAGAUGCAAAAAGGACUCUGGCUUAUAGUUAUUUUUUAGUCACUAUCCUUCUUCUUCGAGUCUCCUCCCCAACACAAGGUAGGCACCGAAAUUCGCCAAUAAUGGUGAACCGCCCCCUUUGAGCCCCUCUCGCUUGCAGACGGCGACGGCGGUCCAGAUUCGUUGUCAAGCUCCGCCCUCACUAUGUGCCCUUUGCAUCCUCCUCAUAUGAGGCUGCACCAUCUCAUGUACGGCAAUCCAAUGGUGGUACGUCUUCCCCCUCUCAAGAUCUAGCAGCAGUUCGUUGGCGACAAGUCGGUGGUGAGCUCCUCACUUCCUUUCCUUCUGAAACUCAGGUUCAAGCUCAAGGUUUUUUUUUGCAGUGCUCUGUUGUCAGUGACAUUGCUCAUGACUUAAUGGUGAGGCAUGAUGAUACGCCUAUGAUUGACAAAGGAAACUCACAAGGCUUGUCCUUGUUAACAUAGACUACAAUCAUAUUAAAGUGAGUACACUAAUUCAUUAAUUAUAUUGUCCUUUUUAGGGAAUUAAUUAUAUUGUCUUGAUAAGUAUCCUCUCCACCUGAACUAUUUUAGCCAUGCUCAAAAGGUAGUCUUUUUAGUUAAGUUGCUUCAGCAUGAACCUUGAAAGAAUGUGUUUGAGGCCAACUUGUAUGUGAGGUUAACAUGUAUUUCCUUUCUGUUUCACAAUGUUGCAUUUAUUGAAAAGUGUUGUCAAUGCUUGCAAAGUUUCACAGUGAAAUGACAUUUGUAGAUUUUUUGCCACGGCUUCCGCAAAUGUCAUUUCAUGAUGCAAAUUUACAAGUACUUGAAACAUUUAUCAAUGUUUUCCACCAAGCAAUUUCAGAAUUUUCAUUUUUGUCGGAAUUUACUGUUCAUCCUGAGCUAACUUUUUUCGUUUAUAGCGGCGCCAUUUUCGUUUAUAAAAAGCCGAUGGUGAUUGCUAAAGAAAAAAGAGCUCACUCAUUGGCGCCUAGCUACCUUUCGAUUACAGUAAUCUCCACCCACUCCACUGCCAAGUGCACAAGCAAAAGUCGAACGGUCCCAAGCUCUCGGCAUGGCCUCCGCCGGCGAGCACACGGUGCCCCUGCUCUACCGCCCACCUCCCGAGGUCUCGUCCCCCUCUCCUCUGCCUCCCUCGUGAUAAACUCUUUUCUCUCUGAUUCGAUUUUGACCCAUGGAUGAUGUCUGGCUCCUAAUUUUGGUGGGGAUCGCCGUCGCAGGCAGCGGAGGCAUACACCACCGACGGGUCUCUUGAUUUCGACGGGAACCCGGCGGUGAAGAAUCGCACGGGUGGAUGGCGCGCAUGCCGCGCAGUCCUCGGUAAUCUAUUUCUUGUUCCUGUUGAGAUUUCGACGGCAUAAAAUUCUCUAGGCAAUUCACCUGUUCUUGGCAACUCGCACAGGUGGAUGGCGUGGUGAUUAAUUCGGUUCCGGCCGCAUCUUGGAACGAUGAUGUGCAUGCAGGUACCGACUUCUGCUACUGCCUGGCCUUCCACGGCAUCUCCUACAACCUCGUCACGUACCUCACGACCGUCCUGGGCCAAACCAACGUCGCCGCCGCGAGGAGCGUCUCCACCUGGAAGGGCACCUGCUACCUCACUCCCCUCGCCGGCGCCGUCGUGGCUGACUCCUACUGGGGAAGGUACCGCACCAUGGUCGUCUCCUGCUCCGUCGGCGUCGCAGUACGUUCCUUCCAACCACUCUGCACAGCAACCAAUAACCACUCUCCACCAGAGUCUGAAUCUCUAUGUCAUGUCCUAGUGGAGCAACUCAGUUGAGAAAAUUCAGACUUGAAUUCUGCAAGAUUGUGAGAAUUUGGCCUCAAUAUUUUUGGGCAGGGCAUGCUCAUGGCAGCACUCUCGGCUUACCUGCCGCUGCUCGUCAAGAACGGCUCGUCGUUCACAGGCCUCACCUCGUCCAACAUCGUGUCGGCUCAGGAGUACAUCUUGUUUCUGGGCCUCUACAUGGUUGCCUUUGGGUUAGGCGGCCUCAGGCCGUGCCUGAUGUCCUUCGGCGCCGAUCAGUUCGACGACGGCGAUCCAUCGGAGCGCGUGACGAAGGGCUCCUUCUUCAACUGGUACGUCUUCAACAUGUACUGCGCAUCGCUGGUAUCCAGCACCGGCAUCGUGUGGGUGCAAGAUCGUUACGGCUGGGCGCUAGGGCUGACCAUCCCGGCGGCCGUCCUCGCCGUCGGGCUUUCAUGCCUGGUCGUCGGAUCGCGGACGUGCAGGUUUCACCGACCCCGCGGCAGCCCACUCACCAGAGUGUGCCAGGUCGUCGUCGCUGCCGUGAGAAAGUUUGGCCUCGAGCCGCCGUCCGACAGCUCUCUUCUCUACGACCCGUGGGAAGAGGACCUCGCAGUUCACAGGAUCGAGCAUACCACUGAUCUCCGGUCAGUUACCACAAUCCUGUUUUCUUGUACUUCCUCCGUCCGAAAAUACUUGUCAUCAAAAUGAACAAAAAGGGAUGUAUCUAGAACUAAAAUACAUCUAGAUACAUCUCCUUUUAUUCAUUUUGAUGACAAGUAUUUCCGGACGGAGGGAGUAGUUGCUUUCGUCAAAUUCACCGUUCAAUACAAAUGUGCUGCUUGCCUGAUCAGAUUCUUCGACAAGGCCGCCGUUAUCGUGGCUUCGGGCAAGGAGGUGGAGACGGCAGCCGGCCGGACGCCACACAGCCCGUGGAAACUCUGCAUCGUGACGCAGGUCGAGGAGACAAAGAUUCUCGUGCGGAUGCUUCCGCUCUGGGCGACCGUCGUGUUCUUCUAUGCCGUGUUAGCGCAGGUCUCGUCGACAUUCGUCGAGCAAGGCAUGGCGAUGGACGCCGCCGUCGGCUCCGUGCGCGUCCCGCCCGCGUCCAUGUCCACCUUUGAGGUGCUCACCAUCAUCGCCCUGGUCCCGCUCUACGACCGGGCAUUCGUUCCUGCUGCCAGGAGGCUCACGGGGAGGGAGAAGGGCAUCUCAGGGCUGCAGAGGAUCGGUACCGGCCUCGCCAUGCCCGUGCUCGCCAUGGCCGCCGCGGCGCUUGUCGAAACAGCACGCCUCCGAGCGGCAAAGUCGUCGCCGCUGUCACCGAAUGCGACUAGCGUGCUGUGGCAGGCGCCCCAGUACGUGCUGAUGGGCGUGGGCCAGGUCCUCACUACCAUCGGGCAGCUCGACUUCUUCUACAGCCAGGCGCCGGCCGCGAUGAAGACCGUGUGCACGGCGCUCGGGUUCCUCGCGAUAGCGGCCGGCGAUUACCUGAGCUCAUUCCUACUGACGGUCGUGCAGUGGGCGACGUCGAGGGGCGGCACGCCGGGGUGGAUCCCCGACGACCUGAACGAGGGUGACUUGGAUCGCUUCUUCUGGAUGAUGGCCGUACUGGGCUGCGUGAAUCUGAUGGCUUUUGUGAGCUGCGCCGCGAGGUACAAGGAAAAGAAUCCAAUAAGACCUGGUCUUAUUUCUGAGCAAGUGAGACCAUGUUGACAACAAUCUCAAAGCACCAUAGUCUUCUUGCUCGAUUUGAUACAUUUUGCAGUUAAUUUAGUUUGCAUUAGUGUAGUGUAGUGUCAAAAAACGAUUUACAUUAUGGGACGAAGGGAGUACAUGUUUCCGUACUUUCCCCUCCCGAGCCACUCGAGCGGGCGGCAACGGAGGCCCCAAUGUUGGAAAUAUGCCCUAGAGGCAAUAAUAAAAGCAUUAUUAUUAUAUUUCCUUGUUCAUGAUAAUUGUCUUUAUUCAUGCUAUAAUUGUAUUAUCCGGAAAUCGUAAUACAUGUGUGAAUAAUAGACACCAAUAUGUCCCUAGUAAGCCUCUAGUUGACUAGCUCGUUGAUCAACAGAUAGUCAUGGUUUCCUGACUAUGGACAUUGGAUGUCAUUGAUAACGAGAUCACAUCAUUAGGAGAAUGAUGUGAUGGACAAGACCCAAUCCUAAACAUAGCUUAAAGAUCGUAUAGUUCGUUUGCUAGAGUUUUCCAAUGUCAAGUAUCCUUUCCUUAGACCAUGAGAUCGUGUAACUCCCGGAUACCGUAGGAGUGCUUUGGGUAUGCCAAACGUCACAACGUAACUGGGUGACUAUAAAGGUAGACUACGGGUAUCUCCGAAAGUGUCUGUUGGGUUGACACGGAUCAAGACUGGGAUUUGUCACUCGGUAUGACGGAGAGGUAUCACUGGGCCCACUCGGUAAUGCAUCAUCAUAAUGAGCUCAAAGUGACCAAGUGUCUGGUCACGGGAUCAUGCAUUACGGUACGAGUAAAGUGACUUGCCGGUAACGAGAUUGAACGAGGUAUGGGGAUACCGACGAUCGAAUCUCGGGCAAGUAACAUAUUGAUUGACAAAGGGAAUUGCAUACGGGGUUGCUUGAAUCCUCGACAUCGUGGUUCAUCCGAUGAGAUCAUCGUGGAGUAUGUGGGAGACAACAUGGGUAUCCAGAUCCCGCUGUUGGUUAUUGACCGGAGAGUCGUCUCGGUCAUGUCUACAUAUCUCCCGAACCCGUAGGGUCUACACACUUAAGGUUCGAUGACGCUAGGGUUGCAGGGAUAUGUAUAUGCAGUAACCCGAAUGUUGUUCGGAGUCCCAGAUGAGAUCCCGGACAUCAUGAGGAGUUCCGGAAUGGUCCGGAGGUAAAGAAUUAUAUAUAGGAAGUGCUGUUUCGGCCAUCGGGACAAGUUUUGGGGUUAUCGGUAUUGUACCGGGACCACCGGAAGGGUCCCGGGGGUCCACCGGAUGGGUCCACCUGCCCCGGGGGGCCACAUGGGCUGUAAGGGGGUGCGCCUUGGCCUACAUGGGCCAAGGGCACCAGCCCCAAGGUGCCCAUGCGCCUAGGGUUUCCAAAGAGGAAGAGUCCCACAAGUGGAAGGCACCCCUAGGUGCCUUGGGGGGGAGGGAAACCUCCCUUGGCCGUCGCCCCCCCUAGGAGAUUGGAUCUCCUAGGGCCGGCGCCCCCCCCUUGGCCCUCCUAUAUAUAGUGGGGGAAGGAGGGCUUUUCAUCUAUGCCUUUGGUUGCCUCCUUCUCCCUCUCCAACACCUCCUCCUCCUCUAUAGCGCUUGGCGAAGCCCUGACGGAGUACUGCAGCUUCAUCACCACCACGCCGUCGUGCUGCUGCUGGAGCCAUCUUCCUCAACCUCUCAUUCCCUCUUGCUGGAUCAAGAAGAAGGAGAGGUUACGCUGACCGUACGUGUGUUGAACGCGGAGGUACCGUCCGUUCGGUGCUAGGAUCUCCGGUGAUUUGGAUCACGUCGUGUUCGACUACCUCAUCCCCGUUCUUUGAACGCUUCCGCUCGCGAUCUACAAAGGUAUGUAGAUGCAUCCGAUCACUUGUUGCUAGAUGAACUCCUAGAUGGAUCUUGGUGAAACCGUAGGAAAAUUUUGUUUUCUGCAACGUAACUCAAAACAGUGGCAUCAUGAGCUAGGUCUAUGCGUAGUUCUCUUGCACGAGUAGAACACAAUUUGUUGUGGGCGUUGAUGUUGUCAACUUUCUUGCCGCUACUAGUCUUAUCUUGCUUCAAUGGUAUUGUGGGAUGAAGCGGCCCGGACCAACCUUACACGUACGCUUACGUGAGACCGAUUCCACCGACUGACAUGCACUAGUUGCAUAAGGUGGCUGGCGGGUGUCUGUCUCUCCUACUUUAGUUGGAGCGGAUUCAAUGAAAAGGGUCCUUAUGAAGGGUAAAUAGAAGUUGACAAAUCACGUUGUGGCUUUCACGUAGGUAAGAAAGCGUUCUUGUUAGAACUCUACUUCAGCCACGUAAAACUUGCAACAACAAUUAGAGGACGUCUAACUUGUUUUUUGCAGCAAGUGCUUUGUGAUAUGAUAUGGCCAAAGUUGUGAUGAAUGAUGAAUGAUCUAUAUGUGAUGUAUGAGAUGUUCAUGCUAUUGUAAUAGGAAUCACGACUUGCAUGUCGAUGAGUAUGACAACCGGCAGGAGCCAUAGGAGUUGUCUUUAUUUUGUAUGACCUGCGUGUCAUUGAGAAACGCCAUGUAAAUUACUUUACUUUAUUGCUAAACGCGUUAGCCAUAGUAGUAGAAGUAAUAGUUGGCGAGCAACUUCAUGGAGACACGAUGAUGGGGAUCAUGAUGAUGGAGAUCAUGGUGUCAAGCCGGUGACAAGAUGAUCAUGGAGCCCCCAGAUGGAGAUCAAAGGAGCUAUGUGAUAAUGGCCAUAUCAUGUCACUAUUAUUAUUUGAUUGCAUUUGAUGUUUAUCAUGUUUUGCAUCUUGUUUACUUAGAACGAUGGUAGUAAAUAAGAUGAUCCCUCAUAAUAAUUUCAAGAAAGUGUUCCCCCUAACUGUGCACCGUUGCGACAGUUUGUUGUUUCAAUGCACCACGUGAUGAUUGGGUGUUUGAUUCAAACGUUCACAUACAACGGGUGUAAGACAGAUUUACACAUGCAAACACUUAGGUUGACUUGACGAGCCUAGCAUGUGUAUAGACAUGGCCUCGGAACACAGAAGACCGAAAGGUCGAGCAUGAGUCGUAUAGAAGAUACGAUCAACAUGAAGAUGUUCACCGACGUUGACUAGUCCGUCUCACGUGAUGAUCAUACACGGCCUAGUUGACUCGGAUCAUGUUAUACUUAGAUGACUAGAAGAGGGAUGUCUAUCUAAGUGGGAGUUCAUUGAAUAAUUUGAUUAGAUGAACUUUAUUAUCAUGAACUUAGUCUAAAAUAUUUACAAUAUGUCUUGUAGAUCAAAUGGCCAACGUAGUCCUCAACUUCAACGCGUUCCUAGAGAAAACCAAGCUGAAAGACGAUGGCAGCAACUAUACAGACUGGGUCCGGAACCUGAGGAUCAUCCUCAUAGCUGCCAAGAAAGAUUAUGUCCUACAAGCACCGCUAGGUGAUCCACCCGUCCCACAGAACCAAGACGUUAUGAACGCUUGGCAGACACGUGCUGAUGACUACUCCCUCGUUCAGUGCGGCAUGCUUUACAGCUUAGAGCCGGGGCUCCAAAAGCGUUUUGAGAGACAUGGAGCAUAUGAGAUGUUCAAAGAGCUGAAAAUGGUUUUUCAAGCUCAUGACCGAAUCGAGAGAUAUGAGGUCUCCGACAAGUUCUUCAGCUGUAAGAUGGAGGAAAAUAGUUCUGUCAGUGAGCACAUACUCACUAUGUAUGGGUUACAUAACCGCUUGACUCAGCUGGGAGUUAAUCUCCCGGAUGAUGCGGUCAUUGACAGAAUCCUCCAGUCGCUUCCACCAAGCUACAAGAGCUUUGUGAUGAACUUCAAUAUGCAGGGGAUGGAAAAGACCAUUCCUGAGGUAUUUGCAAUGCUGAAAUCAGCAGAGGUAGAAGUCAAGAAGGAACAUCAAGUGUUGAUGGUAAAUAAAACCACUAAGUUCAAGAAGGGCAAGGGUAAAAAGAACUUCAAGAAGGACGGCAAGGGAGUUGCCGCGCCCGGCAAGCAAGCUGCCGGGAAAAAGCCAAAGAAUGGACCCAAGCCCGAGACUGAGUGCUUUUAUUGCAAGGGAAAUGGUCACUGGAAGCGGAACUGCCCCAAAUACUUAGCGGACAAGAAGGCCAGCAAAACAAAAGGUAUAUAUGAUAUACAUGUAAUUGAUGUGUACCUUACUAGUACCCGUAGUAGCUCCUGGGUAUUUGAUACCGGUGCAGUUGCUCACAUUUGUAACUCAAAGCAGGGGCUGCGGAAUAAGCGGAGACUGGCAAAGGACGAGGUGACGAUGCGCGUCGGGAAUGGUUCCAAGGUCAAUGUGAUCGCCGUCGGCACGCUACCUCUACAUUUACCUUCGGGAUUAGUUUUAAACCUUAAUAAUUGUUAUUUAGUGCCAGCUUUGAGCAUGAACAUUGUAUCGGGAUCUCGUUUAAUUCGAGAUGGCUACUCAUUUAAAUCCGAGAAUAAUGGUUGUUCUAUUUAUAUGAGAGAUAUGUUUUAUGGUCAUGCUCCUAUGGUGAAUGGUUUAUUCUUAAUGAAUCUCGAGCGUAAUGCUACACAUAUUCAUAGUGUGAGUACCAAAAGAUGUAAAGUUGAUAAUGAUAGUCCCACAUACUUGUGGCACUGCCGCCUUGGUCACAUAGGUGUCAAACGCAUGAAGAAGCUCCAUGCGGAUGGACUUUUAGAGUCUCUUGAUUACGAAUCAUUUGACACGUGCGAACCAUGCCUCAUGGGUAAGAUGACCAAGACUCCGUUCUCAGGAACAAUGGAGCGAGCAACCAACUUAUUGGAAAUCAUACAUACUGAUGUGUGCGGUCCAAUGAGUGUUGAGGCUCGCGGUGGCUAUCGUUAUGUUCUCACCCUCACUGAUGAUUUAAGUAGAUAUGGGUAUGUCUACUUAAUGAAACACAAGUCUGAAACCUUUGAAAAGUUCAAGGAAUUUCAGAGUGAGGUUGAGAAUCAACGUGACAGGAAAAUCAAGUUUCUAUGAUCAGAUCGUGGAGGAGAAUACUUGAGUCACGAAUUUGGCACACACUUAAGAAAAUAUGGAAUAGUUUCACAACUCACGCCGCCUGGAACACCUCAGCGUAAUGGUGUGUCCGAACAUCGUAAUCGCACUCUAUUAGAUAUGGUACGAUCUAUGAUGUCUCUUGCCGAUCUACCGUUAUCUUUUUGGGGCUAUGCUUUAGAGACUGCCGCAUUCACUUUAAAUAGGGCUCCGUCGAAAUCCGUGGAGACGACACCGUUUGAAUUAUGGUUUGGGAAGAAACCUAAGCUGUCGUUUCUAAAAGUUUGGGGAUGCGAUGCUUAUGUCAAGAAACUUCAACCUGAAAAGCUCGAACCCAAGUCGGAAAAAUGCAUCUUCAUAGGAUACCCUAAAGAAACUGUUGGGUAUACCUUCUACCUCAGAUCCGAAGGCAAGAUCUUUGUUGCCAAGAAUGGAUUCUUUCUAGAGAAAGAGUUUCUCUCGAAAGAAGUAAGUGGGAGGAAAGUAGAACUUGAUGAAGUGUUACCUCUUGAACCGGAAAAUGGCACAACUCAAGAAAAUGUUCCUGAUGUGCCUGCACCAACUAGAGAGGAAGUUAUUGAUGAUGAUCAAGAUACUUCUGAUCAAGCUCCUACUGAAAUUUGAAGGUCCACAAGGACACGUUCCGCACCAAGUGGUACGGCAACCCUGUCUUGGAAAUCAUGUUGUUAGACAACGGUGAACCUUCGAACUAUGAAGAAGCGAUGGCGGGCCCGGAUUCCGACAAAUGGCUAGAAGCCAUGAAAUCCGAGAUAGGAUCCAUGUAUGAAAACGAAGUAUGGACUUUGACGGACUUGCCCGUUGAGCGGCGAGCCAUAGAAAAUAAAUGGAUCUUUAAGAAGAAGACAGACGCGGAUGGUAAUGUGACCAUCUAUAAAGCUCGGCUUGUCGCUAAGGGUUAUCGACAAGUUCAAGGGGUUGACUACGAUGAGACUUUCUCACCGGUAGCGAAGCUGAAGUCCGUCCGAAUCAUGUUAGCGAUUGCCGCAUUCUAUGAUUAUGAAAUAUGGCAAAUGGACGUCAAAACGGCAUUCCUUAAUGGUUUCCUUAAGGAAGAACUGUAUAUGAUGCAGCCGAAAGGUUUUGUCGAUCCUAAGAAUGCUGACAAGGUAUGCAAGCUCCAACGCUCGAUUUAUGGGCUGGUGCAAGCAUCUCGGAGUUGGAACAUUCGCUUUGAUGAGAUGAUCAAAGCAUUUGGGUUUACGCAGACUUAUGGAGAAGCCUGUGUUUACAAGAAAGUGAGUGGGAGCUCUGUAGCAUUUCUCAUAUUAUAUGUAGAUGACAUACUUUUGAUGGGAAAUGAUAUAGAACUCUUGGACAGCAUUAAGGCCUACUUGAAUAAGAGUUUUUCAAUGAAGGACCUUGGAGAAGCUGCAUAUAUAUUAGGCAUCAAGAUCUAUAGAGAUAGAUCAAGACGCCUCAUAGGUCUUUCACAAAGCACAUACCUUGAUAAGAUAUUGAAGAAAUUCAAUAUGGAUCAGUCUAAGAAGGGGUUCUUGCCUGUGUUACAAGGUGUGAAAUUGAGCUCAGCUCAAUGUUCGACCACGGCAGAAGAUAUAGAAGAGAUGAGUGUCAUCCCCUAUGCCUCAGCCAUAGGUUCUAUUAUGUAUGCCAUGCUGUGUACCAGACCUGAUGUAAACCUUGCCGUAAGUUUGGUAGGAAGGUACCAAAGUAAUCCCGGCAAGGAACACUGGACAACGGUCAAGAAUAUCCUGAAGUACCUGAAAAGGACUAAGGAAAUGUUUCUCGUUUAUGGAGGUGACGAAGAGCUCAUCAUAAAGGGUUACGUCGACGCUAGCUUCGACACAGAUCUGGAUGACUCUAAGUCAUAGACCGGAUACGUGUAUAUUUUGAAUGGUGGGGCAGUAAGCUGGUGCAGUUGCAAGCAGAGCGUCGUGGCAGGAUCUACAUGUGAAGCGGAGUACAUGGCGGCCUCGGAGGCAGCGCAUGAAGCAAUUUGGGUGAAGGAGUUCAUCACCGACCUAGGAGUCAUACCCAAUGCGUCGGGGCCGAUCAAGCUCUUCUGUGACAACACUGGAGCUAUUGCACUUGCCAAGGAGCCCAGGUUUCACAAGUAGACAAGGCACAUCAAGCGUCGCUUCAACUCCAUUCGUGAAAAUGUUCAAGAUUAAGACAUAGAGAUUUGUAAAGUACAUACGGACCUGAAUGUAGCAGAUCCGUUGACUAAACCUCUCCCUAGGGCAAAACAUGAUCAACACCAAAAUUCCAUGGGUGUUCGAUUCAUCACAAUGUAACUAGAUUAUUGACUCUAGUGCAAGUGGGAGACUGUUGGAAAUAUGCCCUAGAGGCAAUAAUAAAAGCAUUAUUAUUAUAUUUCCUUGUUCAUGAUAAUUGUCUUUAUUCAUGCUAUAAUUGUAUUAUCCGGAAAUCGUAAUACAUGUGUGAAUAAUAGACACCAACAUGUCCCUAGUAAGCCUCUAGUUGACUAGCUCGUUGAUCAACAGAUAGUCAUGGUUUCCUGACUAUGGACAUUGGAUGUCAUUGAUAAUGAGAUCACAUCAUUAGGAGAAUGAUGUAAUGGACAAGACCCAAUCCUAAACAUAGCUUAAAGAUCGUAUAGUUCGUUUGCUAGAGUUUUCCAAUGUCAAGUAUCCUUUCCUUAGACCAUGAGAUCGUGUAACUCCCGGAUACCGUAGGAGUGCUUUGGGUAUGCCAAACGUCACAACGUAAUUGGGUGACUAUAAAGGUAGACUACGGGUAUCUCCGAAAGUGUCUGUUGGGUUGACACGGAUCAAGACUGGGAUUUGUCACUCCGUAUGACGGAGAGGUAUCACUGGGCCCACUCAGUAAUGCAUCAUCAUAAUGAGCUCAAAGUGACCAAGUGUCUGGUCACGGGAUCAUGCAUUACGGUACGAGUAAAGUGACUUGCCGGUAACGAGAUUGAACGAGGUAUGGAGAUACCGACGAUCAAAUCUCGGGCAAGUAACAUAUCGAUUGACAAAGGGAAUUGCAUACGGGGUUGCUUGAAUCCUCGACAUCGUGGUUCAUCCGAUGAGAUCAUCGUGGAGUAUGUGGGAGCCAACAUGGGUAUCCAGAUCCCGCUGUUGGUUAUUGACCGGAGAGUCGUCUCGGUCAUGUCUACAUAUCUCCCGAACCCGUAGGGUCUACACACUUAAGGUUCGGUGACGCUAGGGUUGUAGGGAUAUGUAUAUGCAGUAACCCGAAUGUUGUUCGGAGUCCCGGAUGAGAUCCCGGACAUCACGAGGAGUUCUGGAAUGGUCCGGAGGUAAAGAAUUAUAUAUAGGAAGUGUUGUUUCGGCCAUCGGGACAAGUUUCGGGGUUAUCGGUAUUGUACCGGGACCACCGGAAGGGUCCCGAGGGUCCACCGGGUGGGUCCACCUGCCCCGGGGGGGCCACAUGGGCUGUAAGGGGGUGCGCCUUGGCCUACAUGGGCCAAGGGCACCAGCCCCAAGGGGCCCAUGCGCCUAGGGUUUCCAAAGGGGAAGAGUCCCACAAGUGGAAGGCACCCCUAGGUGCCUUGGGGGGGAGGGAUACCUCCCUUGGCCGCCGCCCCCCCUUGGCCCUCCUAUAUAUAGUGGGGGAAGGAGGGCUUUUCAUCCAUGCCUUUGGUUGCCUCCUUCUCCCUCUCCAACACCUCCUCCUCCUCUAUAGCGCUUGGCGAAGCCCUGACGGAGUACUGCAGCUCCAUCACCACCACGCCGUCGUGCUGCUGCUCGAGCCAUCUUCCUCAACCUCUCCUUCCCUCUUGCUGGAUCAAGAAGAAGGAUACGUUACGCUGACCGUACGUGUGUUGAACGCGGAGGUACCGUCCGUUCGGUGCUAGGAUCUCCGGUGAUUUGGAUCACGUCGUGUUCGACUACCUCAUCCCCGUUCUUUGAACGCUUCCGCUCACGAUCUACAAAGGUAUGUAGAUGCAUCUGAUCACUCGUUGCUAGAUGAACUCCUAGAUGGAUCUUGGUGAAACCGUAGGAAAAUCUUGUUUUCUGCAACAUUCCCCAACACCCAACCCUAUCCUUGAAACCCCUCCCUCCUUGAGAUCCCCUCGCCGCCGCUGCCGCUGUGACGGCGGUGGUGGUGGAGCCCAGCCGUCAAAGGCGGCGGACGUGGUCGGUGAGCCCUGACGGGCCUCCCUCGCGUGGGGGUUAAGCGUCAUGCGGGGCGACGCGGGUGAGCUUCUCCAGUGCGGUGGUACAGAGGCGAGCGGUGGUGCGGUGGAGCGCGGUAGGGAGCCUGUAGAUCAGGUGUAGGCGGCUGGUGCGGUCCGGGACGUGCACGCAUGGGAGAUGGCGGAUGCGGCGUGGCGCGGCCAAGGAGGCAGCGGUGCAGUGGCGCUUGGCCAGGUGAGCGGUGAUGGCUGCCUGGUGUGGGGCCUGGGUCCUGUUGUGGUGGCUCAAGGAGGUGAGCGAUAGUGGCCUCCUGGUGGUGUCGGUGCUGUUGUUGGAGGCGGAUGUGCAAUCUGGAUAUGGAUAUGGGGUUCAAGAUCGACCUGGGGCCUUUUGUUGCCGUACCGGGGCUCAGUGUUGCGGCAGCUGCAUUGCCGCCUGUUGGGAGUUGGAGCUCUAGUUGUGCUGGUAGUGAAGGUUGCUCCGGAGGUGUGGGUUCUUUGUUGUGCGGACGCAGGAAGUUGGGUUGCGUGCCUUCGGUCGUGUGGGUUGACGGUGUUCCACCGCAUUAUGAUCUCAAUGGCAGGGUGUUGUGGUAGUGGUGGAGUGCCUCUACAUGGAUAGUGGCCCUAAACCGGUGGGUAGGGAUGGAGGUGCGCGACAUUACGGAUGAAAAUCCUGCCCGACUUCAGUCGGUGCUGGCGGCAACAACGCCUAUGGGUGUCGUUCCUCUCCUUGAAGGCGUCACAGAGGUGUGUCGGCAUCACCCCCCUCUCUCUCUCUCUCUCGCUUUGGGUUGUUGUCUCCGGGCGAAAGCCUUGGUUCAUUUUUAGAUCGGUGAUGGCGGCGUCUCGGCAUCGUUACUCUGUUGGGAGCAUCGUGUGAGGAGACACGGCUUCCAGGUUCUGUGCUACGGUUCUUCGGUGCUUGCUGCUGCUCCAGAUGGAUCAUCAUUGGUGCAAUGUACGUCGCUGCCAGGGAAUCAAAGACAAUGGCUUUUCGGGACCAAUCAAGUCCCGCCACCCACUCGCCAUCUCCUAUUAGGCAUUCAAGGGUGGCUGGUGCAUCGGCAUGGGAGGUCCAGUUGCCGUUGUUGCUCUUCGAGGUGACUUGUACUGGUCGAGACGUGGCUUUGUUUUUUUUCUUUGCUUAGGGCAGGUUCCUCGCAUUGUGUUGUUAGGUGUGUGGUGGCUAAUCUUCUAAUUGGAUGUGUGUCCUACACAUGCUGUUCGCAACUGAGAGGUGGUCUCUUAUAAUUGUCUUCUGUCUUCUAUAAAAGUAUAGUACAUAGUGACGUACUCUUGAAAAAUAAAUACAUUUUGCAAUUCUAAAUUUGGUCAAUGUCCGUGGGCGCUAAAGGAAUAUGGUGUGGCUAGGUCCCAGUCGACUGAGAUUCAAUCAAGUCUCAGUUAAAUGACAUAAUAUGUAAGAAAAAAACUGAAAAGAAAAAA
rnacentral:lncRNA from 1 species